rnacentral:rRNA from 1 species
ACACGGACCAAGGAGUCUAGCAUGUGCGCGAGUCACUGGGAUAAUAAAACCAUAAUUCAAUGAUAAACCCAUGGGCGAAAUGAAAGUGAACUGGCGCGCCUCGCGCGCGCCGGAGGGAGGAUUCGCGUCCGGUCACGAACACGCGGCCGUCGCGACGCAUUCCCGAGGCGUUUCGAGAAAGCCCUCCCUCGCGGGGGGCGAUUAUCGGGACGCACUGCGAGCGUACACGCUGGGACCCGAAAGAUGGUGAACUAUGCCUGGUCAGGUC